AACCCCAGAGUCUGGAAUUUGCUGAUUCAUCUGGGAAGCCAAGGACAGGUUAAGGGCACCCAGUCUGGGGACAGGAGGGGACAACCUGGCCUGCAGUUUCAUGGGCACUCUGAUCCUGAGGAUGGCCUCCUCUCUGCCUCUCUAGGUUCUGACCUUGCAGUGACUAAGCACCAUGCAGGGAGCUGGGAACCACACCCUCCACCUGCUCCUGCCAGUCCCUGUGGGGCUCCCUUUCCAAGGCCAGGCCUUCUCUCCCCCCUACCCCCAGGUUCCUCAUUGGUCACCUCAAGGAGCUGUUUCAACCUGGCACCUGGCACCUUGGGGUGUUAUUCAUAAUUGCAUUGUUACAACUGCCCGCAGCAUGGUAAAACUGGCCCGGGACUCUGCCAAGCGAGAGACCAUGCUCCUGCCCAAGGCGAGUGCCCCCUCCUCCCAGGAAGGAGAAUCGCUCUCCAUGCCUGCCUCUGUGUCCAGUGCUGCCCUGGGCACCAGAGGCACAGACAAGGGUGCCCUCAGGGAGCUCACAUUCAAUGGGAGACGCGAGAAACAAGGAAAUUCACGGAUGCCAGAAGAUGAUGUGUCCUUUGGAGAACACAGGCAUGAGGGGGACAUUCCCUUCUCACCAAAGCCCUGUGACAGAACACUUUGUGACCAGGUGUUGAAUGCUGUGAGGGCAAACAGCAAGGGAUCCAGUCCUGCAGGAAGCAGGGACUCAGGUGUGUCCUGAUGGUGGUGUGUUCCAGAGCAGUGGGGACUCAGUGUGUGGCCAGAGCCGGAAGCCCGUGGAGUUACCGGCUGGACAGAGUUGUGACUCAGGCAGAAGCAGGUUGAGGGAUGGAAGUUUCCACCGUGAAGAUCCUCCUCAGCUCCAACCCACGUGCCUCAAGCCGGUGGAAACUGAAGCAGUCAGAAGCUGGAGAGCACAUUUCCGAGGAAGUGUGUCCACUGCCACCUGACCAAGUCACUCAGGGUCAUCCUGAGAGCCAAGGAGAAGGGGUCCAGGGAGCUGACCAACUGACCUCUCUCUCACAUGUGGCACCCAAGCUGGGUGAAGGGAGCAGGAACUGCUCAAGAUGGCAGAGAGGUUAAAACUAAACAAACCCGCAAAUCCACCCAGCACACAGGGAGGUGCCUGAGUUAGAACACUGGCAGCUCACCUUAAAAAAAAAAAAAAACUGCCUGGAGGGAUUGUACUGAUCUGUGUAUUCAGCUGCCCCCUCCCACAUACUGUCAGUGCCUCCAAGGCAGAGAGAUAGUAUCUUGUUCAUCCUGUGUGUCCAAGGGCCAGUGCCCAGCCCUGUUUAAGACCUGGAUGUAAAUGUCUGAGGAAGGAGGGCUUUUCAUAGUUCCAUGCCAGGCCUCUGUGUUACUGCCGCAGCCACUGCGCCCAACAACUAGCAGCUGACCCCUUACAAACUGAUCUCUUUUGUUUCGCAGACAAACAUCUGGCAAUCCCAUAAAGCAGGUUUUGCCAUUACUACUAUUAUCUCCAUUGAACAAAUGAGGAAAGUGGUCUUGCAUCUACCAUUUCUUAUUUUGUGGUGUGUAUGUGGCCGAAUCAUGUCAUUUCUUUGGGUUUGUCACUGGCAAAAUGGGAGCCAUGGU